CAGCCGCCACGGUAAUACGUAGGUGGCAAGCGUUGUCCGGAAUUAUUGGGCGUAAAGGGAGCGCAGGCGGAUAGGUCAGUCUGUCUUAAAAGUUCGGGGCUUAACCCCGUGAUGGGAUGGAAACUGCCAAUCUAGAGUAUCGGAGAGGAAAGUGGAAUUCCUAGUGUAGCGGUGAAAUGCGUAGAUAUUAGGAAGAACACCAGUGGCGAAGGCGACUUUCUGGACGAAGACUGACGCUGAGGCGCGAAAGCCAGGGGAGCGAACGGGAUUAGAGACCCCAGUAGUCCCUGUCUCUUAUACA
rnacentral:rRNA from 1 species